AGCUCCAAUCGCGUAUAUUAAAGUUGUUGCGGUUAAAAAGCUCGUAGUUGGAUUUCUGCCUGUGAGCGACGGUCAGCCUACGGUUUGUACUCGUCACGCCACAGGCAUCUUCCUGGGGAAUGUGUCUGCACUUGACUGUGUGGCGCCCGAUCCAGGACUUUUACUUUGAGGAAAUUACAGUGUUUCAAGCAGGCUACCGCUCUCUGAAUACGUUAGCAUGGAAUAAUAGCAUCGGACCUCGUUCCAAAGCCGUUGGUUUCUUGGAUCGAGGUAAAGGUGGAUAGGGAUUGUUGGGGGCAUUCGUAUUUAACUGUCAGAGGUGAAAUUCUUGGAUUUGUUGAAGACGGACUACUGCGAAAGCAUCUGCCAAAGAUGUUC
rnacentral:rRNA from 1 species